rnacentral:rRNA from 1 species
GAUGAACGCUGGCGGCGUGCCUAAUACAUGCAAGUCGAGCGAACAGACGAGGAGCUUGCUCCUCUGACGUUAGCGGCGGACGGGUGAGUAACACGUGGAUAACCUACCUAUAAGACUGGGAUAACUUCGGGAAACCGGAGCUAAUACCGGAUAAUAUAUUGAACCGCAUGGUUCAAUAGUGAAAGACGGUUUUGCUGUCACUUAUAGAUGGAUCCGCGCCGCAUUAGCUAGUUGGUAAGGGAACGGCUUACCAAGGCAACGAUGCGUAGCCGACCUGAGAGGGUGAUCGGCCACACUGGAACUGAGACACGGUCCAGACUCCUACGGGAGGCAGCAGUAGGGAAUCUUCCGCAAUGGGCGAAAGCCUGACGGAGCAACGCCGCGUGAGUGAUGAAGGUCUUCGGAUCGUAAAACUCCGUUAUUAGGGAAGAACAAAUGUGUAAGUAACUAUGCACGUCUUGACGGUACCUAAUCAGAAAGCCACGGCUAACUACGUG